rnacentral:lncRNA from 1 species
GUGAGCCCUCGGCCUUUGCGCCCCCCGCAAACCGGGCGGCGGAGGCGGGGUCCUGUGCUUUUCCAGUGCACCCUCAGCGUUACCACAGUCUUCGCUUAGCUGAGGCACUGGUAAUGAGCAGCAGGAGUCAGAUUUCUUGAUUGCUAAUUUUUAUUGCUAGCAACAAGGUCCCUCUCAGCUGGGAGCACAAGAAGGACACUGAGCAGUUCUUUGUUACAUCUUAUAAGCUGAGGUAAAUUGUUACAUAUUCGAUACUUUAUUUACCCAACCAAUAAAAGCUAUCCAUGCCUCUUAGUUCUACCA